UGCUUGUCUGAAUGUUUUCCCAUCAGUAAGUCUCCUCCGAACUUUAGAGUGAACAGAAAUGACACCCUGGAUAAACCUCAUACUGUUAGCAGUAGUCCUCAGAGGUGUCCAGUCAGAGGUCCAGUUGGAGGAGUCUGGAGGGGAUGUGAGAAGCCCUGGAGACUCCCUCCGUCUCUCCUGCCAAGCCUCUGGAUUCACCUUCAUCAGCUAUGGCAUGCACUGGGUGAGGCCAUAUCCGGGGAAAGGACUGGAAUGGGUGGCAGUUAUACCCUCCAGUUCCAGCACUAUUUGUUACUCUGACAAAGUGACAGGAUGCUUCACCAUCUCCAGGGACAAUGCCAAAAGCCAGCUGUAUCUGCAAAUGAACAACCUGAAACCAGAGGACAUGGGACUCUAUUACUGUGCUGGAUACACAGUGAGAGGAAGUGAAUCUGAAGCCAAGCAGAAACUCCCCGUUCCUUGGAGCAGCUUUGCAGGUUCAUCCAUGAACCACAGUUUCAACUGGUACACUGAAACUGUGAAGAAUCAUACAGAAAAAACACAAAAAGUUACUGUCCUGAAAAGAACACACAAAUACAUAAAAAUCUGA